AUUGAACGCUGGCGGCAUGCCUUACACAUGCAAGUCGAACGGCAGCACGGGUGCUUGCACCUGGUGGCGAGUGGCGAACGGGUGAGUAAUACAUCGGAACGUACCUUAUCGUGGGGGAUAACGCAGCGAAAGCUGUGCUAAUACCGCGUACGCCCUGAGGGGGAAAGCGGGGGAUCGCAAGACCUCGCGCGAUUAGAGCGGCCGAUGCCUGAUUAGCUUGUUGGUGGGGUAAAAGCCCACCAAGGCGACGAGCAGUAGCUGGUCUGAGAGGACGAUCAGCCACACUGGGACUGAGACACGGCCCAGACGCCUACGGGAGGCAGCAGUGGGGAAUGUUGGACAAUGGGGGCAACCCUGAUCCAGCAAUGCCGCGUGAGUGAAGAAGGCCUUCGGGUUGUAAAGCUCUUUUGUCAGGGAAGAAACACCGGCUCUAACACAGUCUGGGAAUGACGGUACCUGAAGAAUAAGCACCGGCUAACUACGUGCCAGCCGCCGCUGUAACAC
rnacentral:rRNA from 1 species